AAUUUUUCUGUUAACUGUUUACGAUUAUGAUCAAAUACCCCCCUGAAAUUUUGCACUUAUGUGCAAAAUGCCCCCUAAACUUGAAAAUUCUUUAUUUUUUUUAUGCUUGACUCAAAAGAUAUUAAAAGCAAACAAAUUAACAAUUAUUGAUCAUAUAAAUAUGUAUGGAAUGUAUGUUUAUGCAGCUAUUGGUCAUAUAAAUCUUUAUGGAA
rnacentral:lncRNA from 1 species